AGGGGUGUGGCUCAGUAGCAGAGUGCUUGCCCAGCAUGCAUGAAACCCUGGGUUCCACCCCCAGCACUGCCA
rnacentral:tRNA from 1 species